rnacentral:lncRNA from 1 species
ACGAAAUCAAGUUGUCAUUCGUUACUUCGUUACAUCGUUGCAGAUUGAGAUAUCAACCAUGAAAACCUUGGCUGUUGCUCUUUGUUUGGUUCUGGUGGUGGCAAUGGCCUCAGCCACAUACCAAGCCUACCCAAUUGGAGGAGGAUACGGAGGAGGAUACGGGGGAGGAUACAGGCAAGGAUACGGACCAGGAAAUGAUGUAUUUAACAACCAAAACUUCAGACAGUAUGCCACCAUCAAUCAACAACAGUUCAACAAGCAAUACGCUGACCAAGAUAUCUAUAAUCGUGGCCGUCCCUACUAUGGCGGAAAGGGCUAUGGUGGAUAUUAAGAUGGUUCAUGCACAUUGUCCGGAUCAUAAGGCAGGACUCCACCUCUUUCGCAUACGACUUGUUUGACGUGAAUUAAUAAAUCUUUGCAUGAUU